GGUUAAGUGACUAAGCGUACACGGUGGAUGCCUAGGCAGUCAGAGGCGAUGAAGGACGUGCUAAUCUGCGAUAAGCGUCGGUGAGCUGAUAUGAAGCAUUAUUAGCCGGCGAUGUCCGAAUGGGGAAACCCAGUGCAAUCCGUUGCACUAUCGUUAAGUGAAUACAUAGCUUAACGAGGCGAACCAGGGGAACUGAAACAUCUAAGUACCCUGAGGAAAAGAAAUCAACCGAGAUUCCCCUAGUAGCGGCGAGCGAACGGGGAAGAGCCCAGAACCUGAAUCAGUUUGUGCAUUAGUGGAAGCGUCUGGAAAGUCGCGCGAUACAGGGUGAUAGCCCCGUACACGAAGGUGCACAGCUGUGAGUUCGAUGAGUAGGGCGGGACACGUGUUAUCCUGUCUGAAUAUGGGGGGACCAUCCUCCAAGGCUAAAUACUCCUGACUGACCGAUAGUGAACCAGUACCGUGAGGGAAAGGCGAAAAGAACCCCGGCGAGGGGAGUGAAAUAGAACCUGAAACCGUGUACGUACAAGCAGUGGGAGCAUCCUUUAGGGUGUGACUGCGUACCUUUUGUAUAAUGGGUCAGCGACUUAUAUUUUGUAGCAAGGUUAACCGAAUAGGGGAGCCGUAGGGAAACCGAGUCUUAACUGGGCGUCUAGUUGCAAGGUAUAGACCCGAAACCCGGUGAUCUAGCCAUGGGCAGGUUGAAGGUUGGGUAACACUAACUGGAGGACCGAACCGACUAAUGUUGAAAAAUUAGCGGAUGACUUGUGGCUGGGGGUGAAAGGCCAAUCAAACCGGGAGAUAGCUGGUUCUCCCCGAAAGCUAUUUAGGUAGCGCCUCGUGAACUCAUCUUCGGGGGUAGAGCACUGUUUCGGCUAGGGGGUCAUCCCGACUUACCAACCCGAUGCAAACUACGAAUACCGAAGAAUGUUAUCACGGGAGACACACGGCGGGUGCUAACGUCCGUCGUGAAGAGGGAAACAACCCAGACCGCCAGCUAAGGUCCCAAAGUCAUGGUUAAGUGGGAAACGAUGUGGGAAGGCAUAGACAGCCAGGAUGUUGGCUUAGAAGCAGCCAUCAUUUAAAGAAAGCGUAAUAGCUCACUGGUCGAGUCGGCCUGCGCGGAAGAUGUAACGGGGCUAAACCAUGCACCGAAGCUGCGGCAGCGACGCUUAGGCGUUGUUGGGUAGGGGAGCGUUCUGUAAGCCUGCGAAGGUGGCCUGUGAGGGCUGCUGGAGGUAUCAGAAGUGCGAAUGCUGACAUAAGUAACGAUAAAGCGGGUGAAAAGCCCGCUCGCCGGAAGACCAAGGGUUCCUGUCCAACGUUAAUCGGGGCAGGGUAAGUCGACCCCUAAGGCGAGGCUGAAAAGCGUAGUCGAUGGGAAACAGGUUAAUAUUCCUGUACUUGGUGUUAUUGCGAAGGGGGGACGGAGAAGGCUAGACCGGCCGGGCGACGGUUGUCCCGGUUUAAGCGUGUAGGUGUGGUGACUUGGCAAAUCCGGUUACCUUUAACACUGAGGCGUGAUGACGAGGCACUACGGUGCUGAAGUGGUUAAUGCCCUGCUUCCAGGAAAAGCCUCUAAGCUCCAGAUAACACUGAAUCGUACCCCAAACCGACACAGGUGGUCAGGUAGAGAAUACCAAGGCGCUUGAGAGAACUCGGGUGAAGGAACUAGGCAAAAUGGUGCCGUAACUUCGGGAGAAGGCACGCUGGCACGUAGGUGAAGUCCCUUGCGGAUGGAGCCGAAGCCAGUCGAAGAUACCAGCUGGCUGCAACUGUUUAAUAAAAACACAGCACUCUGCAAACACGAAAGUGGACGUAUAGGGUGUGACGCCUGCCCGGUGCUGGAAGGUUAAUUGAUGGGGUCAGCCGCAAGGCGAAGCUCUUGAUCGAAGCCCCAGUAAACGGCGGCCGUAACUAUAACGGUCCUAAGGUAGCGAAAUUCCUUGUCGGGUAAGUUCCGACCUGCACGAAUGGCGUAAUGAUGGCCAGGCUGUCUCCACCCGAGACUCAGUGAAAUUGAACUCGCUGUGAAGAUGCAGUGUACCCGCGGCAAGACGGAAAGACCCCGUGAACCUUUACUAUAGCUUGACACUGAACAUUGAACCUUGAUGUGUAGGAUAGGUGGGAGGCUUUGAAGUGUGGACGCCAGUCUGCAUGGAGCCGACCUUGAAAUACCACCCUUUAAUGUUUGAUGUUCUAACCUGGUCCCGUAAUCCGGGAUAGGGACAGUGUCUGGUGGGUAGUUUGACUGGGGCGGUCUCCUCCCAAAGAGUAACGGAGGAGCACGAAGGUUAGCUAAUCCUGGUCGGACAUCAGGAGGUUAGUGCAAAGGCAUAAGCUAGCUUGACUGCGAGAGUGACGGCUCGAGCAGGUGCGAAAGCAGGUCUUAGUGAUCCGGUGGUUCUGAAUGGAAGGGCCAUCGCUCAACGGAUAAAAGGUACUCCGGGGAUAACAGGCUGAUACCGCCCAAGAGUUCAUAUCGACGGCGGUGUUUGGCACCUCGAUGUCGGCUCAUCACAUCCUGGGGCUGAAGUAGGUCCCAAGGGUAUGGCUGUUCGCCAUUUAAAGUGGUACGCGAGCUGGGUUUAGAACGUCGUGAGACAGUUCGGUCCCUAUCUGCCGUGGGCGUUGGAAGAUUGAGAGGGGCUGCUCCUAGUACGAGAGGACCGGAGUGGACGCACCGCUGGUGUUCGGGUUGUGAUGCCAAUUGCAUUGCCCGGUAGCUACGUGCGGAAAAGAUAAGCGCUGAAAGCAUCUAAGCGCGAAACUUGCCUCGAGAUGAGUCUUCCCUUGGACCUUGAGUCCACUAAAGGAACGUUUAAGACUAAGACGUUGAUAGGCUGGGUGUGUAAGCGUAGCGAUACGUUGAGCUAACCAGUACUAAUGAUCCGUGAGACUUAACCUUAC
rnacentral:rRNA from 1 species